rnacentral:rRNA from 1 species
UGAGUAACACGUGGGUAACCUGCCCGUAAGACCGGGUUAACUCCGGGAAACCGGAGCUAAUACCGGAAAACACCGAAGACCUCAUGGUCUUUGGUUGAAAGGCGGCUUCGGCUGCCACUUACGGAAGGGCCCGCGGCGCAUUAGUUAGUUGGUGAGGUAACGGCUCACCAAGGUGAAGAUGCGUAGCCGGCCUGAGAGGGUGCCCGCCCACCCUGGGACUGAGACACGGCCCAGACUCCUUCGGGAGGCAGCAGUAGGGAAUCUUCCGCAAUGGACGAAAGUCUGACGGAGCG